rnacentral:rRNA from 1 species
GACGAACGCUGGCGGCGUGCUUAACACAUGCAAGUCGAACGGAAAGGCCCUGCUUUUGUGGGGUGCUCGAGUGGCGAACGGGUGAGUAACACGUGAGUAACCUGCCCUUGACUUUGGGAUAACUUCAGGAAACUGGGGCUAAUACCGGAUAGGAGCUCCUGCUGCAUGGUGGGGGUUGGAAAGUUUCGGCGGUUGGGGAUGGACUCGCGGCGUAUCAGCUUGUUGGUGGGGUAGUGGCUUACCAAGGCUUUGACGGGUAGCCGGCCUGAGAGGGUGACCGGCCACAUUGGGACUGAGAUACGGCCCAGACUGCUACGGGAGGCAGGAGUGGGGAAUAUUGCACAAUGGGCGGAAGCCUGAUGCAGCAACGCCGCGUGCGGGAUGACGGCCUGCGGGUUGUAAACCGCUUUCGCCUGUGACGAAGCGUGAGUGACGGUAAUGGGUAAAGAAGCACCGGCUAACUACGUG